rnacentral:rRNA from 1 species
CACGAACGCUGGCGGCAGGCUUAGCACAUGCAAGUCGAGCGCCCCGCAAGGGGAGCGGCAGACGGGUGAGUAACGCGUGGGAAUCUACCCAUCUCUACGGAAUAACGCAUGGAAACGUGUGCUAAUACCGUAUACGUCCUUCGGGAGAAAGAUUUAUCGGAGAUGGAUGAGCCCGCGUUGGAUUAGCUAGUUGGUGGGGUAAAGGCCUACCAAGGCGACGAUCCAUAGCUGGUCUGAGAGGAUGAUCAGCCACACUGGGACUGAGACACGGCCCAGACUCCUACGGGAGGCAGCAGUGGGGAAUAUUGGACAAUGGGCGCAAGCCUGAUCCGGCCAUGCCGCGUGAGUGAUGAAGGCCCUAGGGUUGUAAAGCUCUUUCACCGGUGAAGAUAAUGACGGUAACCGGAGAAGAAGCCCCGGCUAACUUCGUGCCAGCCACCGCGGUAACAC